UACGUAGGGUGCGAGCGUUGACCGGAUUUAUUGGGCGUAAAGGGCGCGCAGGCGGCCACGCACGUCCGUUGUGAAAUCGCCCGGCUCAACUGGGCGGGGUCAGCGGAUACGGCGUGGCUGGAGCAAGCUAGGGGGCAAUGGAAUUCCCGGUGUAGUGGUGGAAUGCGUAGAUAUCGGGAGGAACACCAGUGGCGAAGGCGGUUGCCUGGAGCUUUGCUGACGCUGAGGCGCGAAAGCGUGGGGAGCGAUCCGG
rnacentral:rRNA from 1 species